rnacentral:rRNA from 1 species
UACGUAGGGUGCGAGCGUUGUCCGGAAUUACUGGGCGUAAAGCGUGUGUAGGCGGUCCACUAAGUCGGAUUUGAAAGCCCUGGGCUCAACCCAGGAAGUGCACUCGAAACUGGCGGGCUAGAGUAUCGGAGAGGUUGGUGGAAUUCUCGGUGUAGAGGUGAAAUUCGUAGAUAUCGAGAGGAACACCGGUGGCGAAGGCGGCCAACUGGACGAAUACUGACGCUGAGACACGAAAGCGUGGGGAGCAAACAGG